AACUAAAUUUAAUCAGUACGUGCACUAAAAGUAAACAAGUUGCAUCCAUCUAGCCAGUUACUAAAGAGAAAAAAUGAAGCUAUAUCAAGCAUUUGCUGUCUUCAUUGUACUGAUAGGUACAGGUAGUAGUACAGAUGUGUGCAGCAAUUUUCUUGAGUUCAGAAGAUGUGAGCAGAUUAUCGAUAUGUUUGAAGAAGCCUUAAUCAAGGAAGAAUCAAACAUAUUUGCCCUCAAUGAUAUUUUUUUCCCAAGCAACCGACAUCCGGCUUCCAACUUCAUGGUUGGAUAUUUAAUUAUCAGACCUGGACAAGAUGAGAAUUCAACCCUAAAAUUACAUAUCAGAAGCUGGUGCACAAGCACUUCAUACACAAUAGCAAGCCCUCUUAUGCUUCAAACACUCUUUACAGGACUAACCUAUAUCUGUCAUAUGUCAGUAAGUCGUCAGCUUAUAAUGCCAAGCAACCUAUUCCUAAACAUAACUGAUCACAACUUCAGUGAAAAGGAAAUUGAUUAUACACUUGACUAUGCACUUGACUAUAUCACACCUUGGCUUAAACUUUAUACAAGGAAAGAAGCACAGUCAGGUGAAAUAUCUUACAAGGAUGAAGAUAAAGGAUAUAUGUGUGAUACUGUCUCUUUUAGCUGGGUUUUAAUGGUGUUUACGGUGAUUGUGACUAUCACAGCAAUUUGCAUAUUGUGCAAGGUGUUGUAUUUUUUGCUGAACACUAAAUCUAAACAAGCUGAUGUAAACAGGGCAGUUUUUUUCUCUAUGGGAUUUGUAGUUUUCUCUGUCAACAUUUUGGAUAUCAUUGUCCUUGCGCAUGAAGCGCACAUUUACAUCAUUCAGGAAGUAAAAAUUGAUGAGAAAUAUAGGCCAAUGUUCCAAAAUCCAGCAGAAGAUUUGACCUUUCCUUUGGGUCAUAGGAUAGUAAAAGUAUCGCAAGUAGUUGUUGGGAUUUUUGUGUUUGGUAUAGGAGGGUUCAUUGGAUGUUGUUGCUCAACUUCCCUUCCAAAAGCACUAAACUUUUGUCAUUGCUUUUGUACCUCCAAUUGUGCUUAUUUCCUAUGUUUUGCUAACCUCUUCUACUUCGCAUAUAUGGUCGGUCUAAACGUACUGCCAACAUUUUUGAUGCUGUUCAUUACACCAAUCGAAACGCUAUCUGUUCUGGUAUUCUUUGUGUCACUGCUGUCCAGUGGUGUGAUGUUCAUGACCAUCAUCAUAUUCCAAAUUGAGAUCCACAAGAAAAUGAAUGGGGAAAAGAAAAAGACGAAACUAUGUGCAACAAUCGUUUCAGCUUUCAUUUACUUCUUAGUGCUAAUUUCCAUUGUUAUACUCAUGAUUGUAUUUCUAUUUAUAUUGGCUUCAGUCAAAACUAAUAAUACAUCGUAUCUUGCUCCUGUUAUACUAUCGUUUGGCUCCACAAUACUCUCGAUAUUGGGUGGCUAUGUUACUAUGCGAAUACUGUCAAAGAAAAACAACACACAGAACAGUAAUGAGUCAGAAAUGGAAUCUGGUACGGAAAUGAGUGAGAGAACGACAAAGGAAGACAGUGAUGACGGAGAAGAUACAGAGGAGAAGCCACUCUUGCAAAACGAGUCAUCCUUAUGAGACAUUUUAUGACUUUUCGUGUAUUAAAUGGACACAUUGUUACUUUAUGUACGUACGUCAUACCACCUUAAGAAUAAAACCAUUUGUACUGCCACGUCA